UAACACUGAGAAAUUGGUACUAAUACCCCAUAAUAUCUCAUGCGGCAUCGCAUGGGGUUGAAAACUCCGGUGGUUGAUGAUGGGCAUGCGUUGUAUUAGCUGGUUGGUGAGGUAACGGCUCACCAAGGCGACGAUACAUAGGGGGACUGAGAGGUUAACCCCCCACAUUGGUACUGAGACACGGACCAAACUCCUACGGGAGGCAGCAGUGAGGAAUAUUGGUCAAUGGACGCAAGUCUGAACCAGCCAUGCCGCGUGCAGGAUGACGGCUCUAUGAGUUGUAAACUGCUUUUGUACGAGGGUAAACCCCGAUACGUGUAUCGGGUUGAAAGUAUCGUACGAAUAAGGAUCGGCUAACUCCGUGCCAGCAGCCGCGGUAAUACGUAGGGGGCAAGCGUUAUCCGGAUUUACUGGGUGUAAAGGGAGCGUAGACGGUGAAGCAAGUCUGAAGUGAAAGGCGGGGGCUCAACCCCCGGACUGCUUUGGAAACUGUUUGACUGGAGUGCAGGAGAGGUAAGUGGAAUUCCUAGUGUAGCGGUGAAAUGCGUAGAUAUUAGGAGGAACACCAGUGGCGAAGGCGGCUUACUGGACUGUAACUGACG
rnacentral:rRNA from 1 species